AGGCAGCACUCUGGGAGGGGGAUCUGCAUCUGCACCCACACAGCGGGUGCCAGGCGCUGCCCUCCUGGCGAGCAGGGUGUCCCCGUAAAUCUCCCUGGAGCAGGCUGCCUGUCUGCAGCCCAGGCAGGGACACCCACCUGCCAUUUAGUUUCACGAAUAAUCUCCAUCUAUUGGGUAAAUGAAAGACAAACUACGGUGCACCCGGAGAAACAUCUUCUCUUUAAAUAUUUUAGAGCCAUUAACCUCUCUCAGCGCUCAUUGUCAUCUGCCAGGUAAUUGAAAUGGCUUUGCCUAAGCAGAAUUUUUCUGAGAUCAAUUAUUUACUUCCAGCAGAAGGGUCUGGCUUCAGGCUUAUUUAUGAUGCAGCUGUUGCUACCACCAGCUUCCUCAGCCUUGUUUAUUCUUAAAUAGAUAAAAGCUGCCUGAUUGGAGAUAAAGUUCUUGAUUUUUUCCAAAGUGCCUGAUUGAUCUUGUUGGCCACACUUUGAAAUUGGGACGCAAUACUUUCAUUAUGCUGUUGUUGCCACUCUAUUGCCAUUCUGCAAAUGAGUUACACUCAUCCAACUAAAAUUUGUAAAACGAGCUAUUCCAGGGGCUGGUGAAACCCGCUCAAUUCAUGAAACCCGUGUAAAUUCAUGCCCCAAGCGAGCGGCUCGUUGGGAGGCACAGGAGCAGCAGCGCUGCUGCUGUCACCAACAGCUGGGUGUGCGCCUGCAUCCCAUGGAAAGAGGGCAGAGUUCAUCAAUCUUCUCACAAACAAUGUAAUUGCCAAGCUAAGGGAAAAGCCCAAUUACAAAGAGCUAAUGGAAAUGUGACCCUUUAUUCCCGCUUUGUCUCAUACGUCAGGAGCUAAUAUCCCACUGUUUCAACAAAGGUGAAAAUCUGGUAAUGUUCCUUGCUUCUCCCUUCUCGCUGCCCGCCGCAGGGAAGACUUGCUGGGUGUGAAGAAGCAGAAGAGAUACAACGAGAUGAUUGCUCUUGCUCUGGAUUUAAGAAGCUGUGUGGUGCUGGGCACAGCCCCGCUGACGGGGGGCACACAGAGGAGCUCCCCGGGAAAUGCCCACCCUGGCCACGAUCCGACGGGGUCAGCCGGCAGCCUUAUAAUGCAGCUACCCGGUGGCCAACCCAGUAAAAGUCCUUCCAUUUAGCACUGUGCUGAUUUUACCACCUCCGUUUGAUUCAUUUUCCAUCCUGUGAGCGGGUUUCAUUCCCUCUGUGUUAAUCUCUUGCUUGGAUAGAGGCUGAAUUAUCGGAGCUGGGCACGGCUGACCAGCCCAGGCGGUGCGGGGCGCAGCCUGAGGGCACGCAGCCACCUCGGUGCUGCUUCCUCUUCCUCUAUUAAACAAACUAAUACCUCUGCUUCCUCGCUUC
rnacentral:lncRNA from 1 species